rnacentral:rRNA from 1 species
CAGCCGCCGCGGUAAUACGAAGGGUGCAAGCGUUACUCGGAAUUACUGGGCGUAAAGCGUGCGUAGGUGGUGGUUUAAGUCCGUUGUGAAAGCCCUGGGCUCAACCUGGGAAUUGCAGUGGAUACUGGGUCACUAGAGUGUGGUAGAGGAUAGUGGAAUUUCCGGUGUAGCAGUGAAAUGCGUAGAGAUCGGGAGGAACAUCAGUGGCGAAGGCGGCUAUCUGGGACAACACUGACGCUGAGGCACGAAAGCGUGGGGAGCAAACAGGAUUAGAUACCCCAGUAGUCCCUGUCUCUAUACA